rnacentral:rRNA from 1 species
GAUGAACGCUGGCGGCGUGCCUAAUACAUGCAAGUCGAGCGAAUGGAUUAAGAGCUUGCUCUUAUGAAGUUAGCGGCGGACGGGUGAGUAACACGUGGGUAACCUGCCCAUAAGACUGGGAUAACUCCGGGAAACCGGGGCUAAUACCGGAUAACAUUUUGAACCGCAUGGUUCGAAAUUGAAAGGCGGCUUCGGCUGUCACUUAUGGAUGGACCCGCGUCGCAUUAGCUAGUUGGUGAGGUAACGGCUCACCAAGGCAACGAUGCGUAGCCGCCCUGAGAGGGUGAUCGGCCACACUGGGACUGAGACACGGCCCAGACUCCUACGGGAGGCAGCAGUAGGGAAUCUUCCGCAAUGGGCGAAAGUCUGACGGAGCAACGCCGCGGGAGUGAUGAAGGCUUUCGGGUCGUAAAACUCUGUUGUUAGGGAAGAACAAGUGCUAGUUGAAUAAGCUGGCACCUUGACGGUACCUAACCAGAAAGCCACGGCUAACUACGUGCCAGCAGCCGCCGUAA